rnacentral:rRNA from 1 species
AUUGAACGCUGGCGGCAGGCCUAACACAUGCAAGUCGAGCGAGCGGCGGACGGGUGUGUAAUGUCUGGGAAACUGCCUGUUGGAGGGGGAUAACUACUGGAAACGGUAGCUAAUAUCGCAUACCAUCAGAUGUGCCCAGAUGGGAUUAGCUGGUCGGUGGGGUAACGGGUCACCUAGGCGACGAUCCCUAGCUGGUCUGAGAGGAUGACCAGCCACACUGGAACUGAGACACGGUCCAGACUCCUACGGGAGGCAGCAGUGGGGAAUAUUGCACAAUGUGCGCAAGCCUGAUACAGCCAUGCCGCGUGUGUGAAGAAGGCCUUCGGGUUGUAAAGCACUUUCAGCGGGGAGGCGUUACCCGCAGAAGAAGCACCGGCUAACUCCGUGCCAGCAGCCGCGGUAAUAC